CGGGCAGUAGCGCAGCCAGGUUAGCGCACCUGCUUUGGGAGCAGGGGGUCGCGAGUUCGAAUCUCGCCUGCCCGA
rnacentral:tRNA from 1 species